rnacentral:rRNA from 1 species
AGAGUUUGAUCCUGGCUCAGGAUGAACGCUAGCGACAGGCUUAACACAUGCAAGUCGAGGGGCAGCGGGGAGGUAGCAAUACUUCCGCCGGCGACCGGCGCACGGGUGAGUAACACGUAUGGAACCUGCCCGUAGCAGGGGGAUAAGCGGAAGAAAUUCCGUCUAAUACCGCGUAAUAACUCCGAGAGGCAUCUCAUGGAGUUUAAAGGGUAACACCGGCUACGGAUGGCCAUGCGGCGCAUUAGCUAGUUGGCGGGGUAACGGCCCACCAAGGCGACGAUGCGUAGGGGUUCUGAGAGGAAGGUCCCCCACACUGGUACUGAGACACGGACCAGACUCCUACGGGAGGCAGCAGUGAGGAAUAUUGGUCAAUGGGCGCGAGCCUGAACCAGCCAAGUCGCGUGAGGGAAGACGGUCCUAUGGAUUGUAAACCUCUUUUGUCGGGGAGCAAAAGACGCCACGUGUGGCGUUCCGAGAGUACCCGAAGAAAAAGCAUCGGCUAACUCCGUG